GCCUUCGUGGUGUAAUGGUAAGCACACUCGGUGCGUAUUCGAGAGGUCCGGGUUCGAGUCCCGACGACAGCA
rnacentral:tRNA from 1 species